ACAUCACAUCAAGAGUUGGGGAGACGCCCAACGCCAACCUGCCUCUCCGGGCAAGGUGGUACUCUCUGUAAAGAGAGGAUGUGGCCAAACCGGCAAAUAUACGGACAAAG
rfam:Ochrobactrum anthropi ATCC 49188 chromosome 2, complete sequence.